rnacentral:rRNA from 1 species
CCUACGGGGGGCAGCAGUGGGGAAUAUUGGACAAUGGGCGAAAGCCUGAUCCAGCCAUGCCGCGUGUGUGAAGAAGGCCUUCGGGUUGUAAAGCACUUUCAGUGGGGAAGAAAGCCUUGGGGCUAAUACCCUCGAGGAAGGACAUCACCCACAGAAGAAGCACCGGCUAACUCCGUGCCAGCAGCCGCGGUAAUACGGAGGGUGCGAGCGUUAAUCGGAAUUACUGGGCGUAAAGCGCGCGUAGGCGGUCUGAUAAGCCGGUUGUGAAAGCCCCGGGCUCAACCUGGGAACGGCAUCCGGAACUGUCAGGCUAGAGUGCAGGAGAGGAAGGUAGAAUUCCCGGUGUAGCGGUGAAAUGCGUAGAGAUCGGGAGGAAUACCAGUGGCGAAGGCGGCCUUCUGGACUGACACUGACGCUGAGGUGCGAAAGCGUGGGUAACAAACAGGAUUAGAUACCCGAGUAGUC